AUGAACGCUAGCGACAGGCUUAACACAUGCAAGUCGAGGGGCAGCGGGGGUAGCGAUACCCGCCGGCGACCGGCGCACGGGUGAGUAACGCGUAUGCAACUUGCCUAUCAGAGGGGGAUAACCCGGCGAAAGUCGGACUAAUACCGCAUGAAGCAGGGGCCCCGCAUGGGGAUAUUUGCUAAAGAUUCAUCGCUGAUAGAUAGGCAUGCGUUCCAUUAGGCAGUUGGCGGGGUAACGGCCCACCAAACCGACGAUGGAUAGGGGUUCUGAGAGGAAGGUCCCCCACAUUGGUACUGAGACACGGACCAAACUCCUACGGGAGGCAGCAGUGAGGAAUAUUGGUCAAUGGCCGAGAGGCUGAACCAGCCAAGUCGCGUGAGGGAUGAAGGUUCUAUGGAUCGUAAACCUCUUUUAUAAGGGAAUAAAGUGCGGGACGUGUCCCGUUUUGUAUGUACCUUAUGAAUAAGGAUCGGCUAACUCCGUGCCAGCAGCCGCGGUAAUACGGAGGAUCCGAGCGUUAUCCGGAUUUAUUGGGUUUAAAGGGUGCGUAGGCGGCCUUUUAAGUCAGCGGUGAAAGUCUGUGGCUCAACCAUAGAAUUGCCGUUGAAACUGGGGGGCUUGAGUAUGUUUGAGGCAGGCGGAAUGCGUGGUGUAGCGGUGAAAUGCAUAGAUAUCACGCAGAACCCCGAUUGCGAAGGCAGCCUGCCAAGCCAUUACUGACGCUGAUGCACGAAAGCGUGGGGAUCAAACAGGAUUAGAUACCCUGGUAGUCCACGCAGUAAACGAUGAUCACUAGCUGUUUGCGAUACAGUGUAAGCGGCACAGCGAAAGCGUUAAGUGAUCCACCUGGGGAGUACGCCGGCAACGGUGAAACUCAAAGGAAUUGACGGGGGCCCGCGCAAGCGGAGGAACAUGUGGUUUAAUUCGAUGAUACGCGAGGAACCUUACCCGGGUUUGAACGCAUUCGGACCGAGGUGGAAACACCUUUUCUAGCAAUAGCCGUUUGCGAGGUGCUGCAUGGUUGUCGUCAGCUCGUGCCGUGAGGUGUCGGCUUAAGUGCCAUAACGAGCGCAACCCUUGCCACUAGUUACUAACAGGUAAAGCUGAGGACUCUGGUGGGACUGCCAGCGUAAGCUGCGAGGAAGGCGGGGAUGACGUCAAAUCAGCACGGCCCUUACAUCCGGGGCGACACACGUGUUACAAUGGCGUGGACAAAGGGAAGCCACCUGGCGACAGGGAGCGAAUCCCCAAACCACGUCUCAGUUCGGAUCGGAGUCUGCAACCCGACUCCGUGAAGCUGGAUUCGCUAGUAAUCGCGCAUCAGCCAUGGCGCGGUGAAUACGUUCCCGGGCCUUGUACACACCGCCCGUCAAGCCAUGGAAGCCGGGGGCGCUUGAAGUGCGUUGCCGCAAGGCGCGCCCUAGAGCGAAACCGGUGACUGGGGCU
rnacentral:rRNA from 1 species